GCUGGGUGUGGUGGCGCACACUUGUAAUCCCAGCUACUAGGGAGGCUGAGGUGGGAGGAUCGCUUGAACCCAGGAGGUAGAGGUUGCAGUGAGCUGAGAUCAUGCCACUGUACUCCAGCCUGGGCGACAGAGUGAGAAUCCAUCUCAA
rnacentral:SRP_RNA from 1 species